AGCAUAUCAAUAAGCGGAGGAAAAGAAACCAACAGGGAUUACCUCAGUAACGGCGAGUGAAGCGGUAACAGCUCAAAUUUGAAAUCUGGCUCUUUCAGGGCCCGAGUUGUAAUUUGUAGAAGAUGCUUUGGGCGUGGCUCCGGUCUAAGUUCCUUGGAACAGGACGUCAUAGAGGGUGAGAAUCCCGUACGUGACUGGGUGCCUUCGUCCGUGUAAAGCUCUUUCGACGAGUCGAGUUGUUUGGGAAUGCAGCUCAAAAUGGGUGGUAAAUUUCAUCUAAAGCUAAAUAUUGGCCAGAGACCGAUAGCGCACAAGUAGAGUGAUCGAAAGAUGAAAAGCACUUUGGAAAGAGAGUUAAACAGUACGUGAAAUUGUUGAAAGGGAAGCGCUUGCAAUCAGACUUGCGUGCGGUUGAUCAUCCGAGCUUCUGCCCGGUGCACUCAAUCGUACUCAGGCCAGCAUCGGUUUGGGCGGUUGGAUAAAGGCCUUGGGAAUGUGGCUCCUCUCGGGGAGUGUUAUAGCCCUCGGUGCAAUGCAGCCUGUCCGGACCGAGGACCGCGCUUCGGCUAGGAUGCUGGCGUAAUGGUUGUAAGCGACCCGUCUUGAAACACGGACCAAGGAGUCUAACAUCUAUGCGAGUGUUUGGGUGUCAAACCCAUACGCGUAAUGAAAGUGAACGGAGGUGAGAACCCUUAAGGGUGCAUCAUCGACCGAUCCUGAUGUCUUCGGAUGGAUUUGAGUAAGAGCAUAGCUGUUGGGACCCGAAAGAUGGUGAACUAUGCCUGAAUAGGGUGAAGCCAGAGGAAACUCUGGUGGAGGCUCGCAGCGGUUCUGACGUGCAAAUCGAUCGUCAAAUUUGGGUAUAGGGGCGAAAGACUAAUCGAACCAUCUAGUAGCUGG
rnacentral:rRNA from 1 species